rnacentral:rRNA from 1 species
GGGUUGUGAGGUUAAGCGACUAAGCGUACACGGUGGAUGCCCUGGCAGUCAGAGGCGAUGAAGGACGUGCUAAUCUGCGAAAAGCGUCGGUAAGGUGAUAUGAACCGUUAUAACCGGCGAUGUCCGAAUGGGGAAACCCAGUGCAAUUCGUUGCACUAUCGUUAACUGAAUACAUAGGUUAACGAGGCGAACCGGGGGAACUGAAACAUCUAAGUACCCCGAGGAAAAGAAAUCAACCGAGAUUCCCCCAGUAGCGGCGAGCGAACGGGGAGCAGCCCAGAGUCUGAAUCAGCUUGUGUGUUAGUGGAACGGUCUGGAAAGUCCGACGGUACAGGGUGAUAGUCCCGUACACCAAAAUGCACAGGUUGUGAACUCGAAGAGUAGGGCGGGACACGUGGUAUCCUGUCUGAAUAUGGGGGGACCAUCCUCCAAGGCUAAAUACUCCUGACUGACCGAUAGUGAACCAGUACCGUGAGGGAAAGGCGAAAAGAACCCCGGCGAGGGGAGUGAAAAAGAACCUGAAACCGUGUACGUACAAGCAGUGGGAGCACCUUCGGGUGUGACUGCGUACCUUUUGUAUAAUGGGUCAGCGACUUAUAUUCUGUAGCAAGGUUAACCGUAUAGGGGAGCCGCAGGGAAACCGAGUCUUAACUGGGCGUUAAGUUGCAGGGUAUAGACCCGAAACCCGGUGAUCUAGCCAUGGGCAGGUUGAAGGUUGGGUAACACUAACUGGAGGACCGAACCGACUAAUGUUGAAAAAUUAGCGGAUGACUUGUGGCUGGGGGUGAAAGGCCAAUCAAACCGGGAGAUAGCUGGUUCUCCCCGAAAGCUAUUUAGGUAGCGCCUCGUGAACUCAUCUUCGGGGUAGAGCACUGUUUCGGCUAGGGGGUCAUCCCGACUUACCAACCCGAUGCAAACUACGAAUACCGAAGAAUGUUAUCACGGGAGACACACGGCGGGUGCUAACGUCCGUCGUGAAGAGGGAAACAACCCAGACCGCCAGCUAAGGUCCCAAAGUCAUGGUUAAGUGGGAAACGAUGUGGGAAGGCACAGACAGCCAGGAUGUUGGCUUAGAAGCAGCCAUCAUUUAAAGAAAGCGUAAUAGCUCACUGGUCGAGUCGGCCUGCGCGGAAGAUGUAACGGGGCUAAACCAUGCACCGAAGCUGCGGCAGCGACACUAUGUGUUGUUGGGUAGGGGAGCGUUCUGUAAGCCUGCGAAGGUGUGCUGUGAGGCAUGCUGGAGGUAUCAGAAGUGCGAAUGCUGACAUAAGUAACGAUAAAGCGGGUGAAAAGCCCGCUCGCCGGAAGACCAAGGGUUCCUGUCCAACGUUAAUCGGGGCAGGGUGAGUCGACCCCUAAGGCGAGGCCGAAAGGCGUAGUCGAUGGGAAACAGGUUAAUAUUCCUGUACUUGGUGUUACUGCGAAGGGGGGACGGAGAAGGCUAUGUUAGCCGGGCGACGGUUGUCCCGGUUUAAGCAUGUAGGCUGAUUGUCCAGGCAAAUCCGGAUAAUCAAGGCUGAGGUGUGAUGACGAGGCACUACGGUGCUGAAGUAACAAAUGCCCUGCUUCCAGGAAAAGCCUCUAAGCAUCAGGUAACAUUAAAUCGUACCCCAAACCGACACAGGUGGUCAGGUAGAGAAUACCAAGGCGCUUGAGAGAACUCGGGUGAAGGAACUAGGCAAAAUGGUGCCGUAACUUCGGGAGAAGGCACGCUGGUGUGUAGGUGAAGUCCCUGCGGAUGGAGCUGAGACCAGUCGAAGAUACCAGCUGGCUGCAACUGUUUAUUAAAAACACAGCACUGUGCAAACACGAAAGUGGACGUAUACGGUGUGACGCCUGCCCGGUGCCGGAAGGUUAAUUGAUGGGGUUAUCCGUAAGGAGAAGCUCUUGAUCGAAGCCCCGGUAAACGGCGGCCGUAACUAUAACGGUCCUAAGGUAGCGAAAUUCCUUGUCGGGUAAGUUCCGACCUGCACGAAUGGCGUAAUGAUGGCCAGGCUGUCUCCACCCGAGACUCAGUGAAAUUGAACUCGCUGUGAAGAUGCAGUGUACCCGCGGCAAGACGGAAAGACCCCGUGAACCUUUACUAUAGCUUGACACUGAACAUUGAGCCUUGAUGUGUAGGAUAGGUGGGAGGCUUUGAAGCGUGGACGCCAGUCUGCGUGGAGCCAACCUUGAAAUACCACCCUUUAAUGUUUGAUGUUCUAACGUUGGCCCCUGACCGGGGUUGCGGACAGUGUCUGGUGGGUAGUUUGACUGGGGCGGUCUCCUCCCAAAGCGUAACGGAGGAGCACGAAGGUUAGCUAAUCCUGGUCGGACAUCAGGAGGUUAGUGCAAUGGCAUAAGCUAGCUUGACUGCGAGCGUGACGGCGCGAGCAGGUGCGAAAGCAGGUCAUAGUGAUCCGGUGGUUCUGAAUGGAAGGGCCAUCGCUCAACGGAUAAAAGGUACUCCGGGGAUAACAGGCUGAUACCGCCCAAGAGUUCAUAUCGACGGCGGUGUUUGGCACCUCGAUGUCGGCUCAUCACAUCCUGGGGCUGAAGUAGGUCCCAAGGGUAUGGCUGUUCGCCAUUUAAAGUGGUACGCGAGCUGGGUUUAGAACGUCGUGAGACAGUUCGGUCCCUAUCUGCCGUGGGCGCUGGAGAAUUGAGGGGGGCUGCUCCUAGUACGAGAGGACCGGAGUGGACGCAUCACUGGUGUUCGGGUUGUCAUGCCAAUGGCACUGCCCGGUAGCUAAAUGCGGAAGAGAUAAGUGCUGAAAGCAUCUAAGCACGAAACUUGCCCCGAGAUGAGUUCUCCCUGAGACUUUAAGUCUCCUGAAGGAACGUUGAAGACGACGACGUUGAUAGGCCGGGUGUGUAAGCGCAGCGAUGCGUUGAGCUAACCGGUACUAAUGAACCGUGAGGCUUAACCUUACAACGCCGAAG